rnacentral:lncRNA from 1 species
CAUUGAAGGCUAAGUAUGUCCUGCUCUGCUGGAGCGGUCUGCUCCCAGCCGUGAUGAUGAAUGCAGGAAGGAGGCCAUGAGCAUACCAACAUUUUUUGAGCUCUGCUCAGAUAACAUGAAGAAAGCAUGUUCAGAGUGCUUCACAGCUGUGUCCCACACUUCCCCCUGUGGUCUGCAGAACCCAGCUCUCAACUGUGUUCAUCAAACUCCUCAGUGAUCCCCAUCGAUAGGUGAGUGCUCACACCCCUGGCAGCUGCACUGGCCUCUCAGGAUCAAGUGCUCCAGCUCGCCAGUGUCCAUCUUGGUUUCUGGCUUCUUUUCUGCCUUCCCUUUCCAGCAUCUGUGUGCAUAGUAAGAUCUAGACACUGUGAGAUCAGAACCAGGGUAACUGAAGUCUCAGAAGCUUUGGGGCAGAUACUAAGAAAGAGGAAAGUGCACAGCAUAGAAGCCAGGAUUGAGAAACAGGUCUCUAAGUGCCUGCCUACUAUCCCGGUCCUGCCAUAGGCAUGCUGAGUACUGUCUGUAAGGUCUCCUGGGUACUUUACGAAGACUAGUGUCACAUGGAAUUCACAUUCUAGAAACAUGGAGACUCGAGUGGAGGGCUAUGUGCCUCUUCUCUGUUGAUAACGGUCCAUUUGGCUUUGGGGCAUGGCUGGGAAGUAAC